rnacentral:rRNA from 1 species
UACGUAGGGGGCAAGCGUUGUCCGGAUUUAUUGGGCGUAAAGAGCGUGUAGGCGGCCAUUCAGGUCAGCUGUGAAAACUCGAGGCUCAACCUCGAGACGUCGGUUGAAACCGUUUGGCUAGAGUCCGGAAGAGGAGAGUGGAAUUCCCGGGUGUAGCGGUGAAAUGCGCAGAUAUCGGGAAGAACACCCGUGGCGAAGGCGGCUCUCUGGGACGGUACUGGACGCUGAGACGCGAAAGCGUGGGGAGCGAACAGG